UGUUAUCAGCAUCGUUAUCAUUUAUCAACACACUCCACCUCCUCACUCUCACUACCUUUCACUUCUUAUUCUAUUCAUUUUCUGUUAUCAUCACAAAACCUCUCGAGAAUUUAGAUUAACCAAAAACGAUGUCGUAUGUUCCUCCACACUUGAGAAACGCGGCGAGUUCAACCACCGUGUCCACCAACACCGGAACCCUAGACAACCACCACCACCACCAUCAUCACAACAACAACCUCGCAUUCUCAAACUCACAUUCCAACUCUCCUUCUCUCUUCAAUGCCUCUCGCCGUACCUCCGCUGCUCCUCCGUCGUCAAGGACCAUCGCCGCCGUUCCUGAUACUGUCUUCCCUAAAUGGCAACCUUCUGAACGCGUUUCUCGCAUGAACCCUGACCAGAUUGAAGAGGUCCGCCAUCGGCUAAAUCUUGAUGUUACUGUUUCGUCUGACUCUCUUGCUGCACCUGCACCUAUAGAAUCAUUUAAUGAUAUGUGUUUGCAUCCAAGUAUCAUGAAGGACAUUGCCUAUCAUGAUUACACCAGACCAACUUCUAUCCAGGCACAGGCCAUGCCUAUUGCUCUCAGUGGAAGGGAUCUUUUGGGUUGUGCUGAAACUGGUAGCGGGAAGACUGCAGCUUUCACAAUUCCUAUGAUACAGCAUUGCUUGGCCCAACCUCCAAUUCGGCGCGGAGACGGUCCCUUGGCAUUAGUUUUGGCUCCUACUAGAGAACUUGCUCAACAAAUAGAAAAAGAGGUCCAAGCUUUUAGCAGAUCUCUCGAGUCAUUUAAAACUGCCAUAGUUGUCGGUGGAACUAACAUCGAAAAGCAGAGGUCUGAACUAAGAGCGGGAGUUGAAAUAGCAGUUGCCACCCCUGGAAGGUUCAUUGACCACUUACAACAAGGCAACACUUCCCUCUCUAGAAUUUCUUAUGUUGUUCUAGAUGAGGCAGAUAGAAUGCUUGAUAUGGGUUUUGAACCGCAGAUAAGAGAGAUAAUGAGAAGUCUUCCCGAGAAGCAUCAAACACUGCUGUUCAGUGCAACUAUGCCUGUUGAGAUCGAAGCAUUGUCAAAGGAGUACUUAGCUAGCCCCGUGCAAGUUAAGGUGGGAAAAGUGAGCAGCCCAACAACUAAUGUUUCACAAACUCUUGUGAAGGUUUCUGAAAAUGAGAAGAUUGAUCGACUUCUAGAUUUGCUUGUAGAGGAGGCAUCACAGGCUGAAAAGUGUGGCCAUCCAUUUCCAUUGACAAUUGUGUUUGUUGAGAGAAAGACAAGGUGUGAUGAAGUUGCUGAAGCAUUAAUUGCUCAAGGAUUAUCUGCAGUUUCUUUGCAUGGUGGCCGCAGUCAAAGUGAAAGAGAGGCUGCCUUGCAUGAUUUUCGGAGUAGCUCAACGAGCAUUUUGGUUGCCACCGAUGUUGCAUCUCGGGGCUUGGAUGUCACAGGAGUGUCACACGUCAUCAAUCUUGAUCUUCCAAAGCUUCAGUUAUGGCUGCCUCAAUUAUAGACCACAGAAGAUUAUAUACACCGAAUUGGAAGGACAGGGCGUGCAGGAUCAACUGGCAUAGCCACCUCCUUUUAUACUGAUCGUGACAUGUUUCUUGUGUCAAAUAUAAGGAAAGCCAUAGCUGAUGCUGAAUCUGGGAACGCUGUGGCAUUUGCUACUGGGAAGGUUGCCAGAAGGAAGGAGAAAGAAGCAGCAGCUGCACACAAAGAGGCAAACAUUGCUUUAUCGAAACACCUUGGACCGGGAGCUGCUUCAAUUAACAUAGAAGAUAAGUAUAGAUUCAUGAUUGCUGCCUCAAACAGUAAAGGAGAGGGCACGGCGGAUAGUGCAUGGGAUGAUUGAAGUUUUCGAUAUGCCUCCCAUACAUUUGAUUAAUGACAGUUGCUAACUGUCAUCUAUAGGUUUGUUGUUUGGCAGAUACUGGAGAUGGACGAGUUAAGUUUGCAAUGUCUGCGUACUGUUUCACACGUUGUAGCUAGCACACUGGUAAUGAACGAGUAGCUUCCUAGACACAAUUUGUAGAGUCGUCAUGUAGGUAAUGCAUCUCGUGUAAUCAUAGAAACAAAAGUUUCAUUAAAUUUGUGUCGCGUCAAAUCUAUUAGUUAAAUUUGUAGAGUUGUCAAGUUUUGGUGUAACGAUGGUUUCAUUUCAUUCAAUUUUAUCUUUUGUUUAAACUAUUCA